UAAACACAACCCACCAACCACAGGUAAACACAACCCACCAACCACAGGUAAACACAACUCACCAACCACAGGUAAACACAACUCACCAACCACAGGUAAACACAACCCACCAACCACAGGUAAACACAACCCACCAACCACAGGUAAACACAACUCAACAACCACAGGUAAACACAACCCACCAACCACAGCUAAACACAACCCACCAACCACAGGUAAACACAACCCACCAACCACAGGUAAACACAACUCACCAACCACAGGUAAACACAACCCACCAACCACAGGUAAACACAACCCACCAAC